CUGGUUCCAUGUCCCUGCAAGCUCUUCACUACAAAUAGGACUCUAUGGCUUUGUUCAAGAUAACUGGGCACUAGCAGACAGAGCCACUUCGACUGCCUUUGGGGGAAAAUACUGCUGUGUGUGAGAGAAGCUUUUGCAGCGCUUCUGGAAGAAGGGAAAACCAGGAAGACUAUGGCUGUUAUCAGAAGUAAAAAUGCAAAAAUACUACAGCUCUGCUACCUAGCCUUAAAGGAAAGAAGAUUUAUUAUUGACAAAUAAACGGGUGAGAAGCACUAGUUGUUCCUUGUUACUUAUGCAACAGAACAAAAAGGCUGUACUGUUUAAGCUAGUGGCUACAUACAAAAGCAAACCCUAUCUACAUUGCAUAAUAUUGUUCAAAUUGUUUGAUGUAGAAGCUUUCUAGAGCAGUAACACUGCUAGAACACUCAAGCUUCGCAAAAUGUGCUUGAUUUUUCUUUGUACAACAAGGACAACCUUGAAGAGUGGCAAGAUAAGGCUGUACAGAGAAGCCACAAUUAUGGGAAGCAGGUAGCAAUUCGGAGGUUGGCUUUGCUGCCAGAAUGUCACCUCAGAGAUUAACACACCCUCUCAAAUGAGGUGAGGAAGGUCAAGAAGGAAAACAAUUAAGUUUAUUAAGGAAGAUUCUAAGUGGUAGGCUUGCAGCAACUGAAGUCAUUCCUAACUCAGGAAUUUCUUGUGGAUGAAGACACAUAUUUGGUAUAUCUAGCAUAUAUAAUUACUCAAAGUAAUUGACUAAGGUAAUUUAUUGCCCAACAGUGAUAUGCUCCUAACAAUACACAGUAAACUGGAAACCUCUUCAUUUACAUCGGGCAACACUCCCAGCAUCCAGAAGAAAGACACCUCUGUAAUAGCUGCACCAGGAGCUUUUUACGCUGUGCAGCCCAAAAGCCACGGAUGACCUAGAUACUGGUGCUGCAAGAUGCACCGAUGCUUCCUGAUGCCUUUAGUGUUGUCUCGCUCGACACUGCAGUGCAAGGAACUUCAAUCACCGCGGCGGAAAAUCUGCUCUGCCGGCUGCAGGAGAAUUUUCAGGCUCUGACGGAAAAGUUAACGCUGAGAAAUAUCCUCUUUGGAACGUGGGGUACCCGAGGUUGGAUUUCGGACCCCGUGGCUGGGGCCCCCUGGGCGCUGAUGGGUGCGGGCGGGGUCCUUGCUUCUAACAGGGGAUGGGCUUCUUUCUUAAACAUCAAAUUAGCGUAG
rnacentral:lncRNA from 1 species